rnacentral:rRNA from 1 species
UACGAAGGGUGCAAGCGUUACUCGGAAUCACUGGGCGUAAAGCGUGCGUAGGCGGUUCGUUAAGUCUGCUGUGAAAGCCCUGGGCUCAACCUGGGAACUGCAGUGGAUACUGGCGGACUAGAGUGUGAUAGAGGAUGGUGGAAUUCCCGGUGUAGCGGUGAAAUGCGUAGAGAUCGGGAGGAACACCAGUGGCGAAAGCGGCUCACUGGACCAUAACUGACGCUGAGGCGCGAAAGCUAGGGGAGCAAACAGG